CGUCCGCUCUCGUGCCGCUUUGGCCCGGUUGGUGUGUGCGGGGGGAGGCGGCGGUCAGUGGGGUGCGGCCUGAGCUCCGCGGGGAGCAGCACCCCGCCGCACGGAUGCCUUCAUAAAGGGCUCUUUACCCUCCUGCCAUGAACUGCGCUUCAUUACGCUGCGUUUUGUUUGCUUCCCGGCUGGGCCACGUGCGUUGGGCCCUGCGAGGCGCUGCCGCUCCCUCGUAGAGCUCCCACAGGCAGGGCGUGCUGCCGGGUGCAGCGCCGAGCCUCUCCGCGCCUCCACAUCCUCGCAGAGCCGCUGCUGAGGCUGCGGCCGCGUCCCAGCGGCAGCCAGGAGCCCGUCCGUGCCGGCAGAGCCUCACCAGCUCGCCCGGCGCUGGGAGCGCGGCAGCACCUGUGUGCUGGGCGCUGCACCCCGCCGGGUGAUGCUCACCGCCCGCCCGCGGCUCCUUUUAACUAAAGCUCAGCUCCCAGGAGCGCCACCGCCAUCUCAGCGUGUGCUCCGAGUGACUCAGGACUCUUCUUUUCAUGGUGUGCGUGUGUUUUUCUUCCUCCUGCCGUCAGCAGAGGGUAGCUGUGCUGGCAGGGAUGCGGGCGUUGCCCUCCUGCCCGCGGCCGGUGAGGCUGCAGGGUAAGGGAGGGCAGUGCUGCACCUCGGAGCUGCUGUGUGCGCGCUGGGUUGUGUCAGUCGUAGGAGGUGAGCGUCAAAGGAAGCGGGACCGAGUGCCGGAGCUCCGCGAUCCGGGUGCUGAAUACUUGGUUUCCUGGAAAAGAAGGGAAAAAUAGCACAACGGGCAGCCCUUGUGCGGUCAGAACAAAGCGGCGCCUUUCCGUGGUGAAGCGCUUUUCUUUUGCCUUCCGUUCCUGAGGAUGAAGAACCGCCGUGUUCCCUCUUAAAUAGUUGCACAUGUUUUGGCGGGUUCUGUUGAAUGUUUACGCCGGCAAAGCAAAUAAUUCCUGUUCCAUAAGUACCCUCACAAACAAUGCAAUUUAUUAUCAGGUACAUUAUGUUGUCUUUCUAUUUGAUGUAAAUGGUCUCUUAGAGUUAAAAUUAGACAGAAAAGCCAUUUGAGACUAUUUUGUUCAUCUCCAGCUGUUUUUCAGGAGCGCAUUAGUUUGAAAUAUUUCACGGGCAAAAUACCGCGUUGUUUUUCGGUGAGAAAAAUGAUCUACAAAGAGAAGUGUUGGUGCUUUUAGUGUGAUGGAGGCUAUGUUUGAUGCACGUGGUGAAAUGGGGGGGCCCUGCCCUGCUGGGGUACGGUGCUCAUACCCUACCCUGGGCAGCAGCAACCUCCUAGGAUCCUGAGGACCAAUGGCAACGAGUGUGGGAAGGUGACCGUGUCUCAGUUCCAGCUCCAGCAGUGCCUUCGGUGGAAGCUCACCCAUCCUGUCCAUGCUAUUCCUGCUGAGUGCCUUCAGCACUGGGUUUCCGUUGACUAGCAGUGGGCCUUAAAUAUUUAUCUGGCUUAUUUUUAGAAUGCUCGAUGUAGCUAUUUUUGUAGCACGGAAGCGGUGCUAUAAAUCUGACUGGAUUCCUCCCUCGCUUUGCAUCGGCAAUAGGAAGGCAAGGGUUUGUUUUAUAUUUGACUAGGGGCUCUUAUUAUGUUAAAUUUGCUGUGAUUAUGUGCUAUAUCUCGUUUUUCAAGAGCCUAUGUUUAAAUAGGAUGGAUCUGGCUGCUUAUGGAAUGGAGCACAGUACAGUCUAAGGAAACAAGGCCCAGCCAUUCCCCAUAAAGUCCUACAGAUGCCUCCAUCUCCAGCCCAUGCUGUGCUGCAGACCAUGGCUCUUUGCUCUGCAGGAAGGGCUGUCCUGCCCAUCUCUGCUGCAAGCACAGCUUCUUCUCAGAGGAGAGGAAAUUAAGGACUGCAUUCACGACUUGGCUGUAGGAAAACAAAGCCCUUUGAACUAAAGCUUCUGAGAGUAAAAUCUGAGUCUCUGUAAAAAAAAUUUUUAAACCAGCAUUUUUUUAAACCUGCUGUGACACUGUGGUGCAGGGCUGGGACAGCCAAGGCAUCUGCUGAUGGGGUGGGAGGGACACACUCAGACUGUGCUUGGACUCAGAAACCAUCACAGCAAACCAGGCAUAGUGGAAAUGCUCAGUCACGGCCUGAAGCAGUGAUGGAGCACCUGGUGAGAAGGCAGGGCCAACUCCAGGAGUUCAGGUGCAUGCAAUGCAUCUGAGUGACUGUGAGGGGUGGAGCCCCUCCUUCCCAGUCCUCAUUUAAAGGUUGGGGAGGUGAGGGUAUCUCUUGUUGGAGGUUUCUGCUUGCCUAAGGCCUUUUGAAGAAUACAACUUCAUAUAUAAAUCCAAAAAAGCACGCACACGCCACACCUGUACUGAUUCAAGGCUGUGAUCCUGCUGGGAGUUGUUGGUGUUCCCAUUGCUCAAACCAAGGACUUGUGACAAGGGCAGGUGGAAGUUUGGGGAAAAGGGAACAUUGGACUUGCUGUGCCAGCCCAGAUGAAAGGUUGAACAAGCCCGGGCUCCUGUCUCUGGCAGCGGCCAGAAAAGCUUCAGGAAAGCACAGAACAAGCAUAAAGUAAUACUUUCCCCACUCCAUCCUCCUCACAGAGUGAGUCUUCUCUGUUCUGGCACCUGUCCUGAUGAGAUAAGGAAGAAUAACUUACUCCAGUAGCAAGGAGAGGAAGCAGGUGCUCCCUUCAAAGCUCCUCUAAGGCAUAGACUGUGGACAAUGCCAGGUUAGGUUAGGCCUACACAAAGUGAUGG